rnacentral:tRNA from 1 species
GCGAGGGUGGUGAAAUUGGUAGACACGCCAGACUUAGGAUCUGGUGCUUUCAGCAUAGGGGUUCGAGUCCCCUCCUUCGCA